rnacentral:rRNA from 1 species
AAUGAUCCUUCGGGUGAACUAAGAAGUGGAAAGUGGCGAACGGGUGAGUAACGCGUGGGUAACCUGCCUCAUGGAAAGGAAUAGCCUCGGGAAACUGGGAGUAAAGCCUUAUAUUAUUGAGUUGUCGCAUGGCAAUUCGAUGAAAACUCCGGUGCCAUGAGAUGGACCCGCGUCCCAUUAGCUAGUUGGUGAGAUAACAGCCCACCAAGGCAACGAUGGGUAACCGGUCUGAGAGGGCGAACGGUCACACUGGAACUGAGACACGGUCCAGACUCCUACGGGAGGCAGCAGUGGGGAAUAUUGCGCAAUGGGGGCAACCCUGACGCAGCAAUACCGCGUGAGUGAAGAAGUUUUCGGAUCCUAAAACUCUUUUAUUGGGGAAGAA